rnacentral:rRNA from 1 species
UACGUAGGGGCCUAGCGUUGUCCGGAUUUAUUGGGCGUAAAGAGCUCGUAGGCGGUUCGGUAAGUCAGGUGUGAAAUCUCCACGCUCAACGUGGAGGCGCCACCUGAAACUGCCGUGACUCGAGUCCGGUAGGGGAGUGUGGAAUUCCCGGUGUAGUGGUGAAAUGCGUAGAUAUCGGGAGGAACACCAGUGGCGAAGGCGACUUCCUGGCCUGUUCUUGACGCUGAGGCGCGAAAGCUAGGGGAGCAAACGGG